GGUGGGGUGGGGCCGCCACCUGCUUCCGUGAGCGCGGGGAGAAGCUGGGCACAGCUCGCUUUACUCCCAGUGGAGGGCGGGAAGGUACCAUAUGGUGCUGAUGUGUCGGAUGCCUCCAUGUGUUGAUUUCAAUCAUUCAACUGGACACAUGGUGAGAGGCUGAACAGACAUGCUUCCUUCCCUCAUGGAGUUUAUAUUGCAAUUGAAUCUGGUUCCGAGACCUUCUGAUUCUGAUUCAGCCUUCUAAGUUCAAACCAAAGCAGAGCAUUUUCAACUUCUUUAAUGAGAAGCAUGUUCAGCCAGCAAAGAAGAAGAAGAAAAAUGGUUAUAGACAAGCAACCAACAGUAUCUGCCAUAGCUAUUUUAUAGCUGUUUAAACUUGGGGAAAUUUGGAUACACAAAGAGAUGCCAGGGAUUAACCUACCCAGAGGAAAGGCCACGUGAGGACACAGCAAGAAGGUGGCCGUCUGCAAGCCGAGAGAGGCCUCAGAAGAAGCCAAACCUGCUGAUACCUUGGACUUCCCAGCCUCCAGAUUUGUGAGAAAUAAACUACUGUUGUUUUAAGUCACCCAGUCUAUGAUAUUUUGUUAUAACAGCCCUAGCAAACUAAUACAAGGAUAUUCAUCAUUCUAUGUUUUUGUGCAUUGAAAUGCAUAAAUAUUUCAGCCUCAAUAUUUUCACAGAUGCUGUCUUUUUUGUUUUCAUUCAGAGUAGCUUUCUUCAACAAAUAUUUCAUAAGAACAACUUCAUAAUAUAAAUUGUCUCUAUUUAUGAUUCCACAUAAUUAUGGGCUUCCACAAUUUCGUUUUAUUCCAGUACAGAACAUAAAUUUAUCUAAUUAAAAAUAGGUGCUUCAGCAAAUGACUUAUCCUGCAAGUUGAAAUAUUCUAAAAUGCAAUUACAGAAUUUCAACAUUAAUAUUGUAUACUAUUUGAGGGCUUAUUGUUUAAUUUGUUCAGUACUCACUGUGCUUAUGAAAGGAUAAAUUUCAAGUUUCUCUGUUUGCAAAUGAUUUUUCCAAUAACCGCAUUUUGGUAUUUCAUUUGACAAAUACUUUGAUUAAAACUUUU
rnacentral:lncRNA from 10 species